CUGACUUCCAAGGAGGAAGGAUCUCCAACUGGACAUCCUUCCUCUUGGAGCCCUUCUGUGAGCCCAGGACAUAAACUGUGAUAACUUUGACUGAAGUUCCUGCCAAGGAGAUUAUGAAGUGCACUUUGGGACCUGAGCUGAAACAAUGCCCAUCCCAUGAAUCCAAAGAAGCAGAUGAAAGCAGAGGACCUGUACGCACACUAAAGCUACAGUUUACUAUGAAGAAACUGCUCAGUCUCCCACAGUCAUAGAACCAUUGGAGUUUGGAGGGGACCUUCAAAGAUCUUCUAGUCCAACUCCUCUGCAAUGAACAGGGACACCUACAGCUUGAUCAGUUUGCUCAGAGUCCUGUCCAACCUGACCUUGAAUGUCUCCAAGGACAAAGCAUCCACCACUUCUCUGGGCAACAUCACUACCCUUACUGUAAAAACGUUUUUCUUAUAUCCAAUCCAAUGACAAAAUCAUUGACAAAGUAUCUUGCCGCUACAUGUGUAUAGGGACACAUAAAAUCUCAAGUAACAUAUGAAACAUUGUUUGUGGAAAAUAUAAUCAUCCAUCACCUAAAGGUCUACUUUUUGGCGCACUUAGAACCAACAACUCUUGCAUCUUACUCUAGUCAGCUUCAAUGCAUUUGCAGUUGCAGACACAUAAGACUGUGCCUCUGUCCUAGUAAAGAUCAAGAGUAAACAACAAUAAUAAGUGAUAACAAACCCUGGAAUCGCAGGCAUCAGCCGAGUGCAGCUUCUUUCUCCCAGCCAGGAGUCUGUUCAUGUGUGUUCAAGGCCAGCUCUGAUACAGUGCAACAGUGAACAAACUUGUAUGAGAAAGAAUUAUGAGCAGUCAUAGAAUCAUAAAAUCAUAGGCAUCAUCAUAGUCAUCUAGGGUCUGGGAGCUGCUUUUAGGCACAGGUUCCUACCACUGGUCCCUUAAGCCAUGUUGCAUUUAUAGCUGCACACAGAUGUCUAUCUUGAUUACUUGAGUUAGAUUUGUACUCCACUGUGUUUCUCUACAUUAUCUUCCUGGGUUUUGGCUACCAUGAUGAAAUAAGUCUUUGCAAAAAAGUUCAUCUCACAAAGGAACCCCUACUGGGAAUUUCCUUCCCAGUGCAGUUCUUUAGGAAGUCUAGUUUUUCAGUGAACGGAGUUUGGGUACAUGGACAUCUACUGGAGUUACAAUAUCAUGUAAUGGAUGCAGUUCAGUGUCACUUGGGCAUAAAAUUUACAACUUUGUACGAUCAGAUAAGGAUUCAUUUUUACAGGAGGCCUCUUUUUAUGCUAUUUUUGACUGUGAAAUUAAGUUAUAAAAUAGAAUCAGAACUCCAUCUUAUUAGAAGCUAUACAGCAUUCUUAUCCUGAAGGAGUCACAGUUGUGUUUGGAUGAAUCUUUGACUUUGAAAAGGACACAGCAGUUAUUUUGUGGUUCCAAGUGAAAAUUUUCUCGAUCUUAUCAUUGAAUGAGAAAUAGUAAAAACUUGUAAUGCAGAAAAUGCUGCUAUAAUUAUAUGAGCUACAUUAUAUGAGCUAUAUAAUUUAGAACCAGAACAAUAUAUUAUCACAUAAACCUGUGGAAGAAGAAUUUUCUGACAAACCUCUCAUUUCAUCAAAUAAAGAAAUUAAGGAAAGACAGUUGCAAAAGCAAGAUUGAACAGAAAAAUAUAGUGAUGGAUUACAACGGCAAAUGCUGACAUGGAUCUAGAGACAUCUCUAAUUAGUGUCAGGAAAUUUGAGUAUGUUCUCAUCCAGAGUUUUCUCUAAGCUGCACAUCUCUUAAGUAUAAAUCCCUGGGGAAUAAGACUUGUAACAUAACUGAUGGAAUAACAGUGAGAAGAAAAACAGUGUAUUCUCAAGUACACAGAGUGGAACUUGUCAUUAACAUUUACUGUCUUUUUACAAAGCCAGGUUUGCAUUUUAUAAUCAGGAUUCCAUGAACAAACCUGAGACUUCAGUGAAGAAUGGUUUUAUUUGAUCAGUUGACUGUUGAGUAACACUAAGAUAAACAAUGAACCAAUCAUUUUGUCUUACUCCUCUUUUCACUUUUGUAUGCCUGCCCCUUAUGGUGCCUGUAUACUUUUUGCCCUAUAAAGCAAUACAUUCAAAAAAAGAUUAUUCAAGGACAAUAAAAAAUAGACCUGAAUUGAUGCUUAGUUCCAAUAAUGAAAUUUCAAGAUUUGUAGUGAAGCCAUAGGUUACCAUGAGCUGAAAGAAUUGAGAUGGAGGAAAUGUUUACGUUGGAAAAGAAUACAAUGUGCUCUCCCACCAUGUGGGGUGAAGGGCAUUUUUGUGAAAUGCCCAGCUCAAGCUAUGCUGAACAAGUCAGUUUGACCAUGUGAACUCCCCCACCACCUAAAAACCUAGGGUCCUGCUCUUAUGUGCCUGAGAUUUGGGGUGGCAAAAGGGAAGAGUUGGGGGGGGGGAGCUUUCCCACUCUACUUUUUCCCCUCUUUUUUCUCAUAAUCUGUCUGGAACUCUAUCUUUUUUAAUGCAACUGUAAAACAAGCGAAAUGAAGCUGACAGCAGGUGCUGUGAUCAGUGCUGAUAUAACCCUGUCUCAGCCCUGGACAUCUGAUCAGAAUGUACGCUGUGCCUGAGGUUCUCCAGUUGUGAUUAUCUUAGUCAUACCUUAGGCAGAAACUGCAUUUUCUGUCUUGUUUCUCUUUUCUGACCCCUUCUUUGAACGUUCUUUUAUUCCUUCUGGAAAGAGGAUCAGGUUGAGUAGCAACAGAAAAGCUAGGAACUCCAAAAAAGCUCAAUUGUCUUCUCUUUUUAUUCCAGAAGAACUGUUAUUACUGUUACUAAAAGACAGUCAAAGAAGGGAGUUUCCCUAUAAGAACUCCUUGCUGCUAAGGGGGAAAGAGAUAAUAUUUAACUCUAAAUCUUUUACUCUAUAUUCACUCUACAUUUCAAGUGACUUAGCAGUUUUUCCUUUUUCAGGGUCUGUAAUCAAAGGAUAGAUUUGGAAUGCUGGUUAUUACAAUGGGAGUUUGCCAGCAAUAACUUGAAACCCAGAUAAUGCUUCACUGUUUAUGUUGUAACUGUGAGCAAGUUAUACUGACAUCUUAUCUUUUGUUGGGCACAAGAUAGGUUAUGUUCAACACAGCUCUCAUAUCACUUAGGAAAAGUAAAACUUGUUUGUCUUCUCUAUAGUUUAACAGAAGAGCGCAUUCCCAACUGCUUAUAGCCUUGCUAAGUUUUUAUUGUUUGCAUUCUGGAACCAUUCCCUGCUGUACGUAUACCUCAGAGACUUGCUCGGGAAAGCGUCAGCUAAAGCACUUCAGUCACUUCCAAGAACAAGAUUUCUAAGAAUUUUGAUUAAAAAGCUCAGAGGUGAGGAGUGUGAUAGUGGGGCUGACUGGGCAAGAACCCAUAGGGCACAGGUCCUGUGCAAAGAAUAGUAAGCAAUAACAUAAUUUAUCAUAAUGCAAACUCACUCAUAAAGAGACUGAAAUAAGGAGGCAAAAGAAACUUGAAACACUUGAACUUCAUAAUUUAUAAGAAUUUGACUUGCAACAUUAAUACUGUUCUUUUAGUGUGGUGUUUUGGUGCAUAUCAAUUUCUAAGACACUACUGCUAUAGAAAGAAAUAACGUACUUCUGUUAAUUGUGAACAUGAACCAUACUGGAGGUUGGGAAUCUUGAUGUAGACUUCAGCUUUCUGUAAUGUAGACUUUCAGCAAACCAGUAUGGAAAACAAAUGCCUGGCUAGCAAGCAACUGAAGAGUGUAAGUGUAGUUGCAAGCAACUACAGCAAGUCAAUAUUUCUGACUCACUUUUUCCAGAAUGAGAGGUCGCUCAUGGAUACAACUUUAAAUAAAACAGAAGAUGAGGCUUUAGUUUUUGCAUGUCUAGCAAAAAUAUCAUGAAAACUAUUCGUAAAUGGUGUCCUUACUUAAGUAAACUUUUGUCAGAUCUAGGCAAUUUGGCGUGCCUUUUGUUUAUAAACUUGAACUUUGAAAAGCUUCCUCUGUUUUUGUAAUUACACGGUGAAAUAAAAAGAGGAUUUCUUUUUCCAGAGUUUUGCCUUUCUCAUUUGUCUCCAAAUAUAUUACACUAUAGACAACAAAAAGACACAAUAUUUUUAUGUUUAAAAACAAAUGAGAACUUAGUCCCCAUGAGACUUUGAGCUUCUUCAAUUUCCAGUCAUAGCAGGGGGCUUAGCACCUCAAAGAAUCAAGCAUAAGAAAGUCAUGGCAUUUUCAGAGGGAAAAAAAAAAAAAAAAAAGAAUGACAUAUCUUU
rnacentral:lncRNA from 1 species